GACGAACGCUGGCGGCGUGCCUAAUACAUGCAAGUAGAACGCUGAAGGAGGAGCUUGCUUCUCCGGAUGAGUUGCGAACGGGUGAGUAGCGCGUAGGUAACCUGCCUGGUAGCGGGGGAUAACUAUUGGAAACGAUAGCUAAUACCGCAUAACAGUAGAUGUUGCAUGACAUUUGCUUAAAAGGUGCAAUUGCAUCACUACCAGAUGGACCUGCGUUGUAUUAGCUAGUUGGUGAGGUAACGGCUCACCAAGGCGACGAUACAUAGCCGACCUGAGAGGGUGAUCGGCCACACUGGGACUGAGACACGGCCCAGACUCCUACGGGAGGCAGCAGUAGGGAAUCUUCGGCAAUGGACGGAAGUCUGACCGAGCAACGCCGCGUGAGUGAAGAAGGUUCUCGGAUCGUAAAGCUCUGUUGUAAGAGAAGAACGAGUGUGAGAGUGGAAAGUUCACACUGUGACGGUAUCUUACCAGAAAGGGACGGCUAACUACGUG
rnacentral:rRNA from 1 species